UGAGUGCGAGCUGCUACGGCAGCGAAGUUGGUGACGUCAAGCUUCCAAGAAAAGCCCUAUACCCGUUAAGGCAUCAUGGCCUGUACCCGAAACCGACACAGGUGGGGUGGUAGAGAAUACCGAGGGGCGCGAGGUAACUCUCUCUAAGGAUCUCGGCAAAAUGGCCCCGUAACUUCGGGAGAAGGGGUGCCACCGCAAGGUGGUCGCAGUGAAGAGGCCCAGGCGACUGUUUACCAAAAACACAGGUCUCCGCUAAGUCGCAAGACGAUGUAUGGGGGCUGACGCCUGCCCAGUGCCGGAAGGUUAAGGAAGCCGGUCAGCGUAAGUGAAGCUGGCGACUGAAGCCCCGGUGAACGGCGGCCGUAACAAUAACGGUCCUAAGGUAGCGAAAUUCCUUGUCGGGUAAGUUCCGACCCGCACGAAAGGCGUAACGAUCUGGGCGCUGUCUCGGAGAGAGGCUCGGCGAAAUAGAAUUGUCUGUGAAGAUGCGGACUACGUGCACCCGGACAGAAAGACCCUAUGAAGCUUUACUGUAGCUUGGUAUUGUGCCCGGGCUCUGAAUGCGCAGGAUAGGUGGGAGGCUUUGAUCAUCGGCUUGCGGGUCGAUGCGAGCCAACGGUGAGAUACCACUCUUUCAGAGCUAGGGUUCUAACAGUCGCCCGUUAUCCGGGGACUGGACAGUAUCAGGUGGGCAGUUUGACUGGGGCGGUCGCCUCCUAAAAGGUAACGGAGGCGCGCAAAGGUCUGCUCAGGCUGGUUGGAAAUCAGCCGACGAGUGUAAAAGCAGAAGCAGGCUUGACUGUGAGACCUACAAGUCGAACAGGGAGGAAACUCGGCUUUAGUGAUCCGACGGUUCUGCGUGGAAGGGCCGUCGCUCAACGGAUAAAAGUUACUCUAAGGAUAACAGGCUGAUCUCCCCCAAGAGUUCACAUCGACGGGGAGGUUUGGCACCUCGAUGUCGGCUCAUCGCAACCUGGGGCUGAAGUCGGUCCCAAGGGUUGGGCUGUUCGCCCAUUAAAGCGGUACGCGAGCUGGGUUCAGAACGUCGUGAGACAGUUCGGUCCAUAUCCGGUGCAUGCGCAGGAAUAUUGAGAGGAGUUCUCCCUAGUACGAGAGGACCGGGAGGAACGCACCUCUGGUGUACCAGUUAUCGUGCCAACGGUAAACGCUGGGUAGCCAUGUGCGGAGAGGAUAACCGCUGAAAGCAUCUAAGUGGGAAGCCCACCUCAAGAUGAGUAUUCCCAUGGCGUUAGCCAGUAAGGUCACGGGAAGAACACCCGUUGAUAGGCUCUAUGUGGAAGCGCAGUAAUGCGUGAAGCAGAGGAGUACUAAUAGACCGAGGGCUUGACCGC
rnacentral:rRNA from 1 species